UGGGGAAUAUUGCGCAAUGGGGGAAACCCUGACGCAGCGACGCCGUGUGAGGGAAGAAGGCUUUCGGGUCGUAAACCUCUGUCAGGAAGGAAGAACCUCUCAAGGCUGAACAAGCCUUGGGACUGACGGUACUUCCAGAGGAAGCACCGGCUAACUCCGUGCCAGCAGCCGCGGUAAUACGGAGGGUGCAAGCGUUAAUCGGAAUCACUGGGCGUAAAGCGCGCGUAGGCCGUCUUUUAAGUCGGACGUGAAAGCCCUCGGCUCAACCGGGGAACGGGGUGCGAGACUGGGAGACUUGAGUCCUGGAGAGGGUGGCGGAAUUCCGGGUGUAGGAGUGAAAGCCGUAGAUAUCCGGAGGAACACCGGUGGCGAAGGCGGCCACCUGGACAGGUACUGACGCUGAGGCGCGAAAGCGUGGGGAGCA
rnacentral:rRNA from 1 species